GCUGUGUAAUCAUUAAGAAGAGGAGGCAUUUGGAGCUGCCAAAAUGCCGGAUUACCUUGGUGCCGAUCAGCGGAAGACCAAAGAGGAUGAGAAGGACGACAAGCCCAUCCAAGCUCUGGAUGAGGGGGAUAUUGCCUUGCUAAAAACUUACGGUCAGAGCACUUACUCUAGGCAGAUCAAGCAAGUUGAAGAUGACAUUCAGCAACUUCUCAAGAAAAUUAAUGAGCUCACUGGUAUUAAAGAAUCUGACACUGGCCUGGCCCCACCAGCACUCUGGGAUUUGGCUGCAGAUAAGCAGACACUCCAGAGUGAACAGCCUUCACAGGUUGCCAGGUGUACGAAGAUAAUCAGUGCUGAUUCGGAGGACCCAAAAUACAUUAUCAACGUAAAGCAGUUUGCCAAGUUUGUGGUGGACCUUAGUGAUCAGGUGGCACCUACUGACAUUGAAGAAGGGAUGAGAGUGGGUGUGGACAGAAAUAAAUAUCAAAUUCACAUUCCAUUGCCUCCUAAGAUUGACCCAACAGUUACCAUGAUGCAGGUGGAAGAGAAACCUGAUGUCACAUACAGUGAUGCUGGUGGUUGUAAGGAACAGAUUGAGAAAUUGCGAGAAGUAGUUGAAACCCCAUUACUUCAUCCAGAGAGGUUUGUAAACCUUGGCAUUGAGCCUCCCAAGGGCGUGCUGCUCUUUGGUCCACCCAGUACAGGCAAGACACUCUGUGCGCGGGGCAGUUGCUAAUGGGACUGAUGCGUGCUUCAUUCGAGUUAUUGGAUCUGAGCUCGUACAGAAAUACGUCGGUGAGGGGGCUCGAAUGGUUCGUGAACUCUUUGAAAUGGCCAGAACAAAAAAAGCCUGCCUUAUCUUCUUUGAUGAAAUUGAUGCUAUUGGAGGGGCUCGGUUUGAUGAUGGUGCUGGAGGUGACAAUGAAGUGCAGAGAGCAAUGUUGGAACUGAUGAAUCAGCUUGAUGGUUUUGAUCCUCGAGGCAAUAUUAAAGUGCUAAUGGCCACUAACAGACCUGAUACUUUGGAUCCAGCACUGAUAAGGCCAGGGAGAUUGGCUAGAAAAAUUGAAUUUAGCUUGCCCGAUCUAGAGGGUCGGACCCACAUAUUUAAGAUUCACGCUUGUUCAAUGAGUGUUGAAAGAGAUAUCAGAUUUGAAUUGUUAGCACGACUGUGUCCAAAUAGCACUGGUGCUGAGAUUAGAAGCGUCUGCACAGAAGCUGGUAUGUUUGCCAUCAGAGCACGGCGAAAAAUCGCUACUGAGAAGGAUUUCUUGGAAGCUGUAAAUAAGGUCAUAAAGUCUUAUGCCAAAUUCAGUGCUACUCCUCGUUACAUGACAUACAACUGAACCCUGAAGGCUUUCAGGUGAAAACUUUAGAUUGGAAUCCUAACCUUACAUAGACUUGUUAAUAACCACUUCAUAAACAAAUAAAUG